rnacentral:lncRNA from 1 species
AUUCGAUUCAAAUGACAGCCUUUUUUGCAAGAGGGCUAAUGUAACAAGAAACAUGCUUAUUGAAUUUGUUAACAUAACAUAACAGUUGAUUUUUCAAGCUAUCCAACCUUUUAAAGGAAAGGUGGCCGAGUCUAUUGUGCCAAACAUAAACGGAAACAUUAUUUACAUAAGCAUUCGAAACUAAAUUCAGAACCUUUGCAUCAAGUACAUAUAGGUCUUGCACUUGAUUACCCUUGCCAAUCAUCUUCUUGGUUUUGUUAUCCUGAAUCAUAAAAUGGUCAGGAAAGAAACUGAUGGCAAGCCGUGAAUCAAAUGUUAAGGCACUAAUAUAUAACAAGUUGUACUUAAAUUGCGGCACAAACAAAACAUUUUGCAGCAUAAGAUUUGGGCUUAAUCUGAUGUCUCCAGUAAGUCUAACUGGAAUUUGUGUGUGAUUUGGUAGAGUAUUAACUUCCUUUGAUGUUCCUCCUGAGAUAUUAAUGCAAACACCUUAUUUAUGGGAGGUAUAGGGUCCAUAAGCAAGAUCUGUCCUCUAACUUGAGAGAAUGAAUCGUGCAUCCCCAUGAGAAAUGAUAAUAUGUAUUCCAUUUGGUAGUGAUUGUUCAAUUCCUUCACACCACCACAUGUACAUUUCCCACAGCUGUAUGUAGCUCGGUAGUUGCUCAAUUCUUCCCAAAUAGUCUUGAGUUUAGUGGAAUAGACACUGACAUUGUUUUGGUCUUGAACCAAAUUCAUCAGUUCCCUGCGCAAUUGAAAUAUACACGGUCCAUUUUUCUGUUGAAAUCUAUCUUUGAGAUCAGUCCAAAUUUCAUGCGCUGAAGUAGUAUAAAUCACACUAGUUGAGAUCUCUUUCGACACAGAGUUCAAAAUCCAAGAUAUUACCAUGUUAUUGCGUCUAAUCGAGGAAUUGAGUGGAUUAGAUUUAGUACCUUCAAGCUUGGUUAUAGAUCCAUCAAUAAAAUCAAGUUUAUUCUUUACAGAUAAAGCUAUGGUCAUCGCACAGCUCCAGAAGGCAUAGUUAUCUCCUGUAAGUGGUUGAGAAACAAGAAUUAAACCUGGACUAUCAGAGUGAUGAAGAAAAUAUGGAUUGGAAGGUUUCAUCAAUGGCAGAUUUAUUUGAGAUCGAUCUCGCAUCAAGACGAUCUGCAAACUGUGAUGACUCCAUUUGAUGAUCAAAUUAGAAAGUAGGACCUUUGAAUCAGUAAAUCAGACUGUGAUCGAGUGAGAUUUAUCAACGAAAUAGAAGAAAAUGAUGCACGCAGGAAGCUGUUUGCUUUGAUACCAUUUCAAGUGCAAAAGAGAGAGAGUGGACGAGUUUGGAGGGAAGGAAAUUUCUGUUCAACAGAUCUGAAGAGUGUUUGAGGUGUGGAGAUAGCCUUCCUCUCUUUCUAUUGUGCCGAUAAAAAAAAAUUACAAAAAGAUAAAUGUACAAUGAAUCGUAUAAUUUUCAGUAUAAUUUAAACAUGUGCAUGGAG